GAUACUUCCGUGCACCAUUGACAUCAGGCAUGGCCAUGGAACUUGCUUUGAGCAGUGAAAUGUGAAUGGAACUGACAUAUGCCCUUCUAAGCAUACACUUUAAUGAGGAUAAUUUGAACAAGAAAGGAUUUCAGGAACUUGGAGGCAUAGCAAGAAAUCUAAACUGACUUUUCCUGAACAUGGACAAAAAGCGCAAACAUGUGCACAUAGGAAGAGAAGGGCCAUCUCCUGGUGGAGACCCAGAGGAAGGGGCAGACUCAAGGUGGACCCUGCCAGCCCAGCUGAGGACCUGCCAAGCCUUCAACACUGAAGCAGAUAAUACUCUGCUGAGAAUUUACACCUGGUCAGAGACCCCCGCGGUUCCUCUCCCUUGCUCCAGGAGACAGAAACUUCCUGAAAGUGAGAGACCAGAUGUCCUCCUGGGAACUGCUAUUUCAGGAAGCUCCCUGGGUUUCCUCCUCUACCUCCCACCUCAUCAGGAUUUGGAACCGGCCCAUGACUCCAAGCAUAACAGGAUGUAUGGGAGAUACAUCAUAGCCAUUGUGAUCAUAGCCUAUUGCUGGUGAGCUUGUGGAAGGUCGGGAUGGGUUUUUAAUUUAAAGGCUUGGGUUUAGUAAGAUUGAAAGGUGGAAAAUCUUUUGGUUUGAG